GACGAACGCUGGCGGCGUGCCUAACACAUGCAAGUCGAACGGUGAAGCACCAGCUUGCUGGAGUGGAUCAGUGGCGAACGGGUGAGUAACACGUGAGCAACCUGCCCCGGACUCUGGAAUAAGCGCUGGAAACGGCGUCUAAUACUGGAUACGAGAAGGCCUCGCAUGGGCACUAUCUGGAAAGUUUAUCGGUUGGGGAUGGGCUCGCGGCCUCUCAGUUUUUUGGUGAGGGAAUGGAUCACCAAGGCGAAGACGGGUAGCCGACCUGAGAGGGGGAACGGGCACACUGGGACUGAGGCAGGGCCCAGACGCCAACGGGGGACAACGGUGGGGAAUAUUGCACAAUGGGCGAAAGCCUGAUGCAGCGGCGCCGCGUGAGUAAUGACGGCCUUCGGGUUGUAAACCUCUUUAAGCAGGGAAGAAGCGAAUGUGACGGUACCUGCAGAAGAAGCACCGGCUAACUACGUG
rnacentral:rRNA from 1 species